GAUCUCACCAUUGUACUCCAGCGUGGGCGACAAGAACAAAAUUCCGUCUGAAAACAAAAAGUGAAGUUCUUUAAGCACUAUAUAAUUUUUGUCUUUUAACCUCAGUAAAGACAAAUUUGACUAAACCAACACAGUGCUAAGCCUUGUGCAUGCAGUAUCUUAUUUCUCAUAAAACUCAUAAGUACUCAUGUCAUGUCCUUAUACAAUGAGAAAAGCAAAGGAUUAAGUCAUGUGUUCAAGAUUAUACAGCUAUUAAGUGUCAGAGCUAGGACCUCAUCCCUUUGAGUAUUAUUAUUACUUUUUUCUUAUUAGAGAUUGAUAGAUGACACAGUUUAAUUUUGCUCCUCUUAUCAAGCACAUGGAAUUCUCAACUUUUGGUAGCUACCAUGCAACGUUUACAUUCUUUCUAGAUCCAGAAUUUCGUUUUGAAAUUAGUGGUAGAACUUGCUUUCUAAUGGUGGUGGAACUGAAAAUAACCCAUCCCCUGGACAGAGCAUUUCUUCAGAAGUGUGGUCAGUUUUUUUCUGCUUUUCAUCUAAACUGUUUGAAGGAGUAGUGAUGUCUUAACUCCACUUCUUUACUUAACAGACUGCCUCCCCCACCUUAUAGCAGUUUGUCUUGCAUGGCAUGUAAUGGGAUGUUGACUAGAUGAUCAGUAACUUCUAGGCUGUCAAAUCUAAUGGCCAUUAUUAAUGAUCAUCUCUUGGGCCUAUGUUUUGCAUUUCAUCCUGAUAAUUUAUUUUCGGAAGUUCUGUCUCUUAACUUCUAAGACAUAUAGCACUGUCUUAAUUUUCCUCAAAUUCCUCUGACCACUCCUUUUCUUUCUUCUUUUUGGUUUUUCUUUUUUCUUUCUUUUUCUUAAACCUACCCCUUAUAUGUUGGUGUUCUUCUUGGUUCUAUCCUGCGCUGCCAUUGCUCUAACUGUAUUCUCUUCCUGCAUGAUCUUAUUUACUCCUGUUAUAAUUAUAACUUAAGUACUGGUAGAUCCCAAAUUUGUGUCUCUAGAUGUAUUUUUGAGUUUCAGGCCAGAUGUCUGGCAGUUCGCUGAAUACCUCUACCUAGGUGUCUCACAAUAUCUCAAACUUGAGAUCCCAAAUAGAAUUCAUCAUCAUAUCCUUUGAGUUCUCCUCUUCCAGGGUUGGUAGUGCUUGGUGUUGCCCUCUACCAUCAACUAAUUACCAGGUCCUGCUUCUUUUACUUCUUAAAUAUUGGACACAUAGGAUCUCCCUCUGUGUGACUGCAACUCUUUUCUCUAAUUCAGAUCCUACUUACCUUGUACUGUACUAUAUCACCUUUUCGCUUUUCUUUCCUGUAGCUUCACAGCCCCUAAAUCCUUCAUCCAUAAAGUUGGGUAUGUGAUUGAAACUUGAACCCAAAUCUGGCUAUGCUUCUCCUCAGUGUAAACCUGUUUAUGAAGUCUCUGACACCAACAGGAUCCACUGUGAGUGUUUUAAUACUGCAUGUUUGGCUCUCCUUGAACUAGCCCUUCCCUUUCUUUCUAGCCAUGUCUCUGGGCAUUUUAGUAUCCCACAGCACUGUUCUAUUCAUUGGUAUCUACCAUACUCUUUCUCACCCUGUCAUAUUUUUGCUUAUAAUGUCCUUAUGCCUAGAAUUCCUUUUUUCUCUUCCUCUAGCUAACCUGAACUAUCCCAGGUUUAUUUCUUCUUGAGUCUGUAUUAAGUACUUCACUCCUUGAGUUCCCCUUUUGUAGCAUUUCUUUCUAACUUGGAUUCACUAGAACUGUAGUAGACCCUCCUGCACUUUCAAAGUUGAAUGAUGCUUAUUCUGAGUCUCUUCCACAUUCCAUAUUUGUAAGGGGUUUCAGAGUCUUCAGCAGAAAUGAAAAUAUAUCUGCAAUAGUUUCUAAUUUAGAGAUUAAGUCUCUAAAAUAAUACCAUUUACUCACCAAAGUAGUAUUUCUAACAUCCAGGGCUUAGAAUAGUCUACAUCCACAGUUUGCCACCCACUGUGAACUUUAGUGCAAGUUAGAGAUAAUUUGAAGAACACUACAGAGAGAAGAGGAGCAAAGCUUCUUGUCUUUUGCCUCUUUGGGAUGCUAUUUAUAUAUGCUAGCUGUCCAAAGUUCGGAAAGUGUGAGGUUUUGACGAAGUUGGGAUAAAUCACCCGUCAAUAGAUAGUUGUGAUGCCACAUUUCUAAUGUUAAAAGGAAAUGAAACGGAAUACCUUUCAGAAACAUUUCUUCUGUCUUCCAGAAUAAAAUACACCAUUCUCAUGGUGGUACCUGCAGAACUCAGAUGUUUCCCAGGAUGCAGUGUGUCCCUAUAGUGCUCCUUAUUCUGAAUAUUUAAAAACAUCAAGUUUUACUUUCUACUUAACCCCUACAUUAUUGACAUACCAAAGAAGAAUAAUUGAACAUGAGAUUCAGGAACACAGUAUACUUUUCUGAGCAUUUUCUUAGAAAAACAUUCUCCCUACUUUCAGAACAGAUAUUUCUGUAGGAAAAAUUUGUUCCCUCUGUAUUUCUGCAUCCCAGCAUGACUCCAAAGACAGACUUUUCCUUUCCUGCUACCAUUUCCUGUCUUCAGGCCCAUUGGCCUGUGAGGCUUUUCUUCCAGGGCACAUUCCCUCUUAAUUCUCUCAUUUAAGCUGAAAAAUACACUUUGACAGUUUUCUGAACUGAAGUUUUAUUGAUGGUGUUGCUAAUGCCUUUGUCUUUGAGGACUAAAUGAGACUCAAAGGUCUGCUGACAUGUGCCCAUCUCUAAACCUUCUUUUAGCUCUUGAAAACACUGCCAUUUUGAUAAUAAUAAAUUUGUUCAGAUGAAUUCCUCAGGGCUUGAGUGACUUGAGAGUUACUAGUAGGAAAAUUCAUUUUUGCUACCACUUAUGCUGCCAUAUGAGUUGGCUUGACUGUCGCCUUUUCUCUUCAGUAUUUUGCCUCUCCCAAGUCCUGCUGUUUUUCAACUUAAACCUGAUUCUUAGGUUGGUUGACUCCCUUGACCAUAUAUAGGUAGAAUAAAGCUGUAGCCAUGAUUCCCCUUUGUUCUUUCUGUUUUCUAUAGUUACGUUUUGUUUUCUUUUUACCAUGUAUUAAAACUGGUUAGUUAAACUGAUAAUAUUUGUCCCUGAGUUUCUGAAAUACUAUUCCCAAAACCUGAGAAGCAAAUUUGGUUUGCAUAUCAAAUUCUAAUUACUUCUCACCCACUCUGACUGUCAUUUUCCUUCUGCGUCUGAGUAAAUCUUGUUCCUAGAACCAGCACUCUCUAGAUAGUGACCUUUAAUGUUUCCUUUUAAUGCCUUAGUUUUUGAGUUUGUAGUAUUUUUGCAGUUUUUUCUCAUCAACCCAAGAAGAUGAAACAUCUUCACAUAGCCAGAACCUCUUUUUACUUUACUGUUCAUUGGCAAGCUUCAUCAUGCCUAGUUAGCUCAACUCACACUCACUCUGGGCUUUUCUUGUAUCCAUCGCACGAUUAGAGUUUAUCCAAUUAUAUUACCAGUGUCACAAUGCCCACUGUUCCCACUGAUACCAGCUGUUACAGAGCUUGCUGGUAAAGUUUAAAGUAGAAGCUACUACUUCUCUGGAUAUCUUGAUAACUUAAAACCAGUUAAUGGAGAUUGUAAAGUAGGAUAUGAGAACAUUUUGAUCCUUCUCACUUCAUAUUUUGAUUAGGCUUAGAGUAACUGAUAGGCAAUAAAAAUCACAUAGAUGAAAAUGUAUUUUAUCAAAAGAAAUACAUUUAAUUGUAGGAAAUUUGGCUUAUUAGAUUAAAAAGUCUGUUAUAACCUUAUAGUGAAGAACACGACAUACAGUAUAGUAGAUACUGUCUAGUAGAUAGAUCAGCUUGAAUCCUGCUGAAUGGUGGUGAUUCACAUACUGUUUCAGCGUUUCUAAGGCUUUCAUCCUGAACUGCUUUGCUAGCUUGAGAUAGCACCCACAUUUCCUUAAAAGAAAGGCACUUUAAAUAGUAUUACUCACAAAUUAAUGAAUGUCCAUAUUUAUACUUGAUAAUUACUUUUUUGCUUUUAUCCUCAAAUGUACAAAUUGUAUCUAAACCAAUGGUAGGGAGGACAGGCAUGAUUCAAGUUGGGGCUUGGCCUCAAACCCCAAGUAGAGAAUUCUAGUGAACUAGACUGGACCAUAUGGGAGACCAUUUUUGUUUUGUUUUUGUUCUUUUAUUUUUUGACUUUUUAUUUUUGUAAGCAAAUAAACCAUAUUGACUCAGAACCAAAAAAGGCAGAAACACCUAGUGUCCGAAUGUUAAGCCCAAGACUUAAGUCCAUGAUCUUACACUCUGCUGUAGACCUGUGUAUUUCCUUCAGUAAGAAGAACCUGAAUUAGUUGAGAUAGGCUUUUAAUGCCCAGAGUGGAGCUGGCCUGGGUGGCCUUUUCUGACUGUUGUGCUGGGCUUUGAGAGGGUGGUAGAUCAAUCAAGGCUCCAGACCCUUUUUAUCUCAUUGAAUGGUAGCAAAGAGAAUAUACCAUGUCAUAUUUAUGUACCUUUGGCAUUUUCACAAUGUGAACUUUUCUAUUACCACCCAUUACGAUGUGAUUCAUAACAAACCACAAGGUAGAUGAAGUCCUAGAGAAUGAAAAAUUCAGUGUACACCCUUAUCUGCCUGAAGAAAUAAGCAGAGGAUAGACAGGAGUCAAGCACUCCAUCUUUCUUAGGUGGCAACAGUACCCUGUACAUGUUUCUGCCAUGAUCUUGCCUUACAUUGAAAAGGGGGGAAAUGCUGCACGUUUCCGUUGUAGAAAGCUACCUAUCAUAGUUCAGAUUUUACCAUUGUUAAAUUAUCUUUUUUAAAAACCGAUUUUGUUUUAUAUUUUAACGGCAUGUGUUAAAUAUGCCUCUAAGUGGAAUCCUUUCACAUUUCUGUGCAUAUGUUUGUACUCUCUUAGUUUGCUACUAAGUAUGAUAUAUUGGGAUGGUAUUUGCAUGAAGAAGGGUGGGACUACAAACAAGCAAAUAAAUAAACACAUGUAUUCCCUUCUCUUAAAGAGAUUGCAAUCUUGGAAU